CAUAAUUUCUAUAUGUAUUUGAAUAUGCAGAAUUUGUAAUAGAACUAUAGGCAUGAUUUCCAUUUGAAUAUGCAGAAUUGUAAUAAACCUAUAGGCAUAAUUUCUACCUUUUGCAUGGAUAGUCGCCCACGCUUUUCACUAGCCAGCCACAAAUGUUCAUUACAACUUAUUACAAACUAACAAUAAUAAAUUACGUCAAAAGUAUAAAAAAAAUACAACUAGAGGAAGCCCGAUGCUUACUUCCUGUCUGAAUUAUGAGAUAGACUAACUCCAAAAUCACAUAUCCAAAACCUUUCUCCAAUUUGAGUGUGUCAGAGUUCCCUCAGAGCCUCGAUGGGACUUUGUGAAAUGCUCACACCUAAAUUGUAUCACCAGAAUAGGGACAAGUGCAUUGUGGAAGGGUCAUCCCUCAAGUGUCCAAGUUCAGAGGGAGCUCAAAUAGUCCCAAGGCAAGGCUCACAAGAGGGGGGGGGGGCAGAACUUAAAAUCUAGGAGAGAGUGCAAGUGUAGAAAUAGAAUUUUAAGGAACUAAGAAAGUAAAGAAGGGGGAGAAGUGCUGGGAAAUACCCAUAAACAAGUCAAACAAAGGGUUCAGGGAUUGGGGAAAUUGUCAAAGAUCCUAUGUACUUAGGCAUUAGCCAAAUCUGGGCAUGCACAGUAAUAGAGAAUGUUGUUAUGCUUACAGAAUCAACAAGAAUACACAACAUAUGACGGUGACAUAGAGGUUAUGAUUCCACGGGAAUAAAGUUUGAGCUAUAGACAAUAAUACUCAAUACUGCCAUGUCUCAAUCAAACCAUUGGAUCAAACACGUUAGGGUAGGGGGUUUGGGAUUCAUAAUAGGAGGAAAUUAUAGCAUGCUAAAGUAAACAUUGAACUAAACAGAAGUAAUAGGCAGACAUGCAAGUAAAGAUAUUAAGUAAACACAUUGUUUGUGGUUGCUGAAGAUCUUAAUCAAGACAUAUCAGUUUCAAGGAAGCCAAAUACAAUAAAAGCAGUAGUAGGAGUUGAAAAACAGGCUACAGUACAAGUAAUAAAAAGAAUGGUUUUUGAGUGUCAGUGAGAGUUCAGAAAACUAAAAGUGUUCGUGUGUGUUUGUCAAUGAAAUAACAUGGUAUUUAUAGUUUAAAAACAGACAGAAAAUAAGGCAAGAAAGUAACCAUGUACCAAAUAAAAUCAAUCAGUAGAAGAACUUCCUUUAAUUAAGGAGUUUAAACUUAAACAGUAAUAAACAGAUCUCAUUUAAAGAAAGAGAUCAAGUAAGUAUCUUGUGCAAAGUAGACAAUUAGGGGUAAAUACAUAGGAGUUUGAUUAAGGGAAGAAUCUUUGAAAUACACAGACAAAUAAGAUAAGAAUCGAUCAAUACAUAGUAAAUCAAGGAUUUAGAGAUUUGAAACUACUGGUUCAUGAAUAAACCAAGUCAGAAAGGCUAAGGAAAGUUUUCAAAUCAAACCAAGAAAUAGAGAAGUUACUAAAACAAGGAAAGAAUCAGUCAGGCUUACACAAGGAGGUCUGAAAUCAGUCAAAAGUGAAAGUUAUUUUAGAGAGGAAGCUCAGCAUAUAUAAAGAGCACACAAGUAUUAGGCAUGCGAGGCUGAAUUUCGGACAAAGAAAUGUGUCAUGCAACUACAAAAUCAAUAUGUAGUGGAUUAUAGGAAUAUGGUAGUCCCAUAGGUCAGAUUCAGGAACUCAGCAUGGAGAAGAGAGAGAUAGAGUAUCAAAUAGCAUGCAAUGGGUCUAAUAGAAAGACCUUAGAAGAGUUUAGCAGGGAUUCAUAAUCAUAUAAAGAAACAAAAGAUCUUGAGAUUCAAUCGAGCAACAGAUGAGACAAAUUCAGAAACUCAAAUAGGUCCAAAGAAAUUAAGGUUUUGAAACCAAACAAGUUCAGAGAUGGGGAGCAAACAAAUCACAUAGCAAAUAAUAUCUGAACUCAACUGAACCCCAAAUCUUAGAGUUUUUUCCAUCAAUCGAGUGUAUAGAUGAAAGACAAUAGAGUCAGGCAAAAAUAUCAACAAAGAAAGUAAAAUAAAAAAUCCUAAGAAAGAACACAAGACUUUAACAUAAAGAAACACAGUAGAAUAAUCAAUAUAAAAAACACAGCAGAACAUGCUAAAGAUCAGAGGAACUUCUAGAUAAGUUGACAAAACCCUAAAUCGCGAAAAAUAAAGGUUUUGAAAGCUGAGUUUUGAAAGAAACUUUGAGAAAAUGUUAGAAUGUUUAGGAAAAAUACGGAUCUAGAACAGAUCUACAGAAAUCGGAAGAACCUCAAAUGUUAGGGUUUCAAAAAAACACAGAUGGUGAAAAAGGCUUGUAAGGUCAUCGAUCUUAGCAGGAGAAGUCAAGCUCAUGCUUGAACAGCCAUGGCUGGCCGGAGCAAGGUCGUAGACAACCAUAGAACACGAAUGAACAAAAUCUGGGUCAAGCUUCUUCGUGGUCAGGCUUUGAAAUUGUGGUAACCAGACGUGUAGGAGUUGUAGGAGGCUGGUAUAGGACUUCAAUAGCCUUGGAAGGCAUGGAUUCUGGUGAUUUUAAGGUGGAAGCGGAGGGAGGCAGCUAGAGUCUAAGAGGAGCUUGAAAGAGAACUGGGAGAAGGGGGAAUUCAAGG
rnacentral:lncRNA from 1 species